rnacentral:tRNA from 1 species
GAGGGUAUAGCUCAGUGGUAGAGUGUGUGCUUAGCAUGCACGAGGUCCUGGGUUCACAUCCCAGUACCUCCA